AAGGGUUGGUAGAGACUUACUAAAAUCAUUUCAUCUCUCACCCUCCUUCAAAGCUGUACCUCAACCAGCAUUUUUCCUGUUAUUCAGCAUUUGCUUGGGCUCAAUAAUCUAGAGCCAGAUGGGAACUUACUGGUCAUCUAGUCCAGCCCUCUUAUUUUACAGUUUCAUGAGACUGCUGAAGAGGUUCACGACACCAAAAGAAAUUAAGAACUCCUGGAUUAGAUGGUAUCUGAGGACCCUUGCAGCUGUAGUCCUAAGGAGAUCAAAGGAAGAACCUGGGCAGGGAAUAGACCUUUCCUUCAUUAGCCUCUGUGAUGUUCUGUUUUAUAUCCUGCCCUUUGUCCCUGCCCUUUGGGAGCCAUCUGGGAUGACCCCACGACCGGCAGAUGGAGGCUUGCUUGCUCUUCUUAUAUUUCGCUGAAAGGUACCGUGCUAAGGGGCCAAAUGAGAUCCUGGAGAGUCAACACCCACCACUGAAACAACUUAACAACAACAACCGUGCUAAGACAGUAUACACCACCGUGAAGCUGCUUCCUGGUACUCCUAAAUACUCGGCAUGGAAUUGCAAUUACUUAAGGUGCCCAACUAUUGCAAUUAAAGUGACAACGUGACGACCAAGAAGGGAAGGAAAUGUUCCUGAGCAAAGCAACGUCUCUGUCUCCCUCCCGGCUCAGUCCCGCAGCAUCCCAAGCUCCUGACGCAGGCUGCCUCUUCUCUUUUCUCUUCAUAUUCUCUCAGAUGACUCAUUUGCCCUUAGUUUCAAUAAUCGCUUCCCUUUGGAUGAGUCCCAAACCUGUAUCUCCCCAGCCCUGACCUCUUUCCUUAACUCCAGUCCUGUAUUUUCAGCUACAGGCUUGGAGGUUCUGCCCGGCCUCAGACUCAAAUCACCUAAGUGCAAAUUGACUAUGAAUCCCACCCACCCCUUCAAACCACAGCAGCAGCAGCAGCAGCAGCAGCAGCAGCAACAAUAAAG